ACUUUCACAUACAGAUAUUUCAUUUCAUACUUUCUCCUGGCAAACAAAUAACUAUUAUUAUAAUUUUAAGGAACUGUUCAAAAGCCAAUGAGCUCCUUUCCUCUCCCAAUUUCCUUUGCUCUUAGAGCUUGCCUAUUAACUUUCUUGCAAAAUGAGACAUCCGGCCGUUAUUUGUUUCACAACAGUGAAAACUCUCCUGUAGCCAUACCUUUCAGAAACACGUCUUCUAAAACCCUCAUGUAGUGUUUGGAUUACUUCACGUGUUAUGGCUUUAUUCAACACCUGUUAUCCAUCAGGUCUCCACAUUCUCACGUGGAAUGAAGUUUUCAAAAGCACAUGCAGACAACCUUGUAGGAAAAAGGAAGAACAGAAGGCAACAAUACCCCAUUGUCAGUCUUGAAAACAAAUACUACAGAAUGCAUAAAGUACACUUAAGUCACUUCUGCUGUGUGAUGGAACAUGAGUGGCAACUAGUUACCCAAUAUUUGUGGAGGGCUGCAUGAAGUCUCUAUGAAAUCAUGGAGAACUCUUCCAGUGGGCUUUCUGUUGUGAAUGGCAGGAAGAAAAUGAUCUGCUUAACCAAGUAAACAUCUGAUUACAGAACUCUCCCUCAGAAACUUAAAGAAACUAAGCUUAUAUUAAGAAUAUAAUUAUUGGUACUCAAGGGCUUUGUCACUGUGGAAAAGAAAGAAUUGUUUCUGGGAUUAAGACUGGUGCCAUUUGACUUCCAGUUCCAGUUUGCGGCGACUCCGGUCGUGUGAAGAGACUCAUCUCUCCCCCGGCUGUUUUCUUCGCCAGUAGACCCCCUGCUGGGUCGAAAGUCGCUCUGGAGGGGCGACUACUGAGGAGUAAGCUUGCUGGUGACUGCGGGAGGGCGGCAGCUUCUUCUGCGGCUCCACCUAACUCCUUAGGGCCAACGGAGCAAAGAUCGUCCUGCAAGAUGGCCGAUUCCUUAGCUGCACCAGCCAAAAGUCACAGGUACAUCUAAGCAUGAAAGACCCACUGCGGAUGAUCCGGGUGAGAACUCUCCUUCUCCUCUUUUCACCCUAUUCUAUUUUUUACCUGUAAAAGCUUUCUUGGAAUUAAUUCCCUGCCUUGAAAGAGUGGCAUUUAUAUGCGUGGGAAGAAAGGCGUUUCAACAAAAGGACAGAUCAAGUAACUUUAAUGACUAUAUUUUAUUUUCAUUUACUUUGGGGUACAGAAAAAAAGAAAAAAAUUUAGAGCUUCACUAUCACCUUAUACUGGAAGAAUAUCUCUUUCUCCACCUUUUCUUUUAAAAGAGAGAGAAAAGGGAAAAAAUGGUGUCUGAGAAAGAUUUUGUAACCCACUGAGGACAUCUUUGACAAAAAGUUAAUAUUGCAAUUGUCUGUUUUUC